UGGCGGCAGUAGCGCGGUGGUCCCACCUGACCCCAUGCCGAACUCAGAAGUGAAACGCCGUAGCGCCGAUGGUAGUGUGGGGUCUCCCCAUGCGAGAGUAGGGAACUGCCAG
rnacentral:rRNA from 29 species